rnacentral:rRNA from 1 species
UACGUAGGGGGCAAGCGUUAUCCGGAUUCAUUGGGCGUAAAGCGCUCGUAGGCGGUCUGUUAGGUCGGGAGUUAAAUCCGGAGGCUCAACCUCCGCCCGCUCCCGAUACCGGCAGACUUGAGUUUGGUAGGGGAAGGUGGAAUUCCUAGUGUAGCGGUGGAAUGCGCAGAUAUUAGGAAGAACACCAGUGGCGAAGGCGGCCUUCUGGGCCAUAACUGACGCUGAGGAGCGAAAGCUAGGGGAGCAAACAGG